rnacentral:rRNA from 1 species
AAUGGGGGAUAACRUAKCGAAAGUUWCGCUAAUACCGCAUAUGCCCUGAGGGGGAAAGUGGGGGAUCGCAAGACCUCACGUUUUCGGAGCGGCCGAUAUCAGAUUAGCUAGUUGGUGGGGUAAAGGCCYACCAAGGCGACGAUCUGUAGCUGGUCUGAGAGGACGACCAGCCACACUGGGACUGAGACACGGCCCAGACUCCUACGGGAGGCAGCAGUGGGGAAUUUUGGACAAUGGGGGCAACCCUGAUCCAGCCAUGCCGCGUGAGUGAAGAAGGCCUUCGGGUUGUAAAGCUCUUUCGGACGGAAAGAAAUCGCMCGGGAUAAUACCCCGKGUGGAUGACGGUACCGUAAGAAGAAGCACCGGCUAACUACGUGCCAGCAGCCGCGGUAAUACGUAGGGUGCGAGCGUUAAUCGGAAUUACUGGGCGUAAAGCGUGCGCAGGCGGUUUAUUAAGACAGAUGUGAAAUCCCCGGGCUUAACCUGGGAACUGCAUUUGUGACUGGUAAGCUAGAGUGUAGCAGAGGGGGGUAGAAUUCCA